rnacentral:rRNA from 1 species
GUCGGGAAUUUUGGGCAAUGGGCGAAAGCCUGACCCAGCAACGCCGCGUGAAGGAUGAAAUCCCUCGGGAUGUAAACUUCGCAAGAACGGGAAGAAUAAGCGAGAGUUAAUAUCUUUCGUGAUGACGGUACCGUUUGUAAGCUCCGGCUAACUCCGUGCCAGCAGCCGCGGUAAUACGGGGGGAGCAAGCGUUGUUCGGAUUUACUGGGCGUAAAGGGCGCGUAGGCGGUCAGCACAAGUCAGUUGUGAAAUCUCCGAGCUUAACUCGGAAAGGUCAACUGAUACUGUGCGACUAGAGUGCAGAAGGGGCAACUGGAAUUCUUGGUGUAGCGGUGAAAUGCGUAGAUAUCAAGAGGAACACCUGCGGCGAAGGCGGGUUGCUGGGCUGACACUGACGCUGAGGCGCGAAAGCCAGGGGAGCGAACGGGAUUAGAAACCCUGGUAGUCC